rnacentral:rRNA from 1 species
AGUGAACGCUGGCGGUAGGCCUAACACAUGCAAGUCGAACGGCAGCACAGUAAGAGCUUGCUCUUACGGGUGGCGAGUGGCGGACGGGUGAGGAAUACAUCGGAAUCUACUUUUUCGUGGGGGAUAACGUAGGGAAACUUACGCUAAUACCGCAUACGACCUACGGGUGAAAGCAGGGGAUCUUCGGUCCUUGCGCGAUUGAAUGAGCCGAUGUCGGAUUAGCUAGUUGGCGGGGUAAAGGCCCACCAAGGCGACGAUCCGUAGCUGGUCUGAGAGGAUGAUCAGCCACACUGGAACUGAGACACGGUCCAGACUCCUACGGGAGGCAGCAGUGGGGAAUAUUGGACAAUGGGCGCAAGCCUGAUCCAGCCAUACCGCGUGGGUGAAGAAGGCCUUCGGGUUGUAAAGCCCCUUUGUUGGGAAAGAAAAGCAGCAGGUUAAUACCCCGCUGUUCUGACGGUACCCAAAGAAUAAGCACCGGCUAACUUCGUG